AAGGGCACCACAAGAACGCGUGGAGCAUGUGGCUUAAUUUGACUCAACGCGGGAAAUCUUACCGGGUCCGGACACACUGAGGAUUGACAGGCAAAUAUAUAUAUAUUAAAUAUGCUAGUCCUUUCAUGAUUAUGUGAUAGGUGGUGCAUGGCCGUUCUUAGUUCGUGGAGUGAUCUGUCAGCUUAAUUGCGUUUCACUAAGGGCUUUUAUAAAUUUAAUGCGCAGUGUGUUGUUGUAUUUUUAUACUCACACACACACGCGCAUGUAAUUAAGUCCUGAAAGCAACGAACGUGACCGCAACCUCUUGUUGCCUUUAUAUAUAUUUUUAUGCGCUCGCGCGUAAAAUAAAAAAAAGGCUUUUUUAUAAACUAGAGGGACCGCUGUAACUUUUUUAAACCAGAGGAAGGUUGCGGCAAUAACAGGUCUGUGAUGCCCUUAGAUGUUCCGGGCUGCACACGUGCUACAAUGAUCAUUGCAGUAAGCAUCUCAUUUUAAUUUUACACCGCAUUUGCGCGCGCGUUGUAUAUAUUUUUUUAUAUACAUUUGCUGUGCUGCAAAAGCGGUAAAAAGCCUGCUUCGAAAGUAAGUGGGUAAUCAAUUAGAAGUAAUGAUUUCCCUAAAUUUUUUUUAAUAGCACACAUAUAUACGGCAUCUUUACCCGUUAGUUUUUUUUUUUAAAAUACUAUUUUGUGCGUAUCGAUCGAAUCCCGUAUGUGCAAUUUGUCAAUUCAUGGUGGGGAUAGACCAUUGUUUUUAAUUGUUGGUCUCGGUCUUAACUAGGAAUGCCUUGUACGGGUCUUUGGUUCAACAAACCACCCGGAAUACGUCCCUGCCCUUUGUACACACCGCCCGUCGCUCUUACCGAUGGACUUCUCUGUGAGCUUGAGGGACUGACUGCGUAUCGCGAAUGGAAACUUAAACGAACAGUGUGGUCUAAAGGAAAGAGAAGUCGUAACAAGGCAUCGGUAGGUGAACCU
rnacentral:rRNA from 1 species